rnacentral:rRNA from 1 species
CGAAGGGGGCUAGCGUUGUUCGGAAUUACUGGGCGUAAAGCGCGCGCAGGCGGUUCUUCAAGUCAGAGGUGAAAGCCCAGAGCUCAACUCUGGAAUGGCCUUUGAGACUAGGGUACGGGAGAGGUGAAUGGAAUUCCGAGUGUAGAGGUGAAAUUCGUAGAUAUUCGGAAGAACACCAGUGGCGAAGGCGGCUCACUGGCCCGUUACCGACGCUCAGGCGCGACAGCGUGGGGAGCAAACAGGAUUAGAUACCCUGGUAGUCCACGCCGUAAACGAUGGAUGCUAGCCGUUGGUAAGCAUGCUUAUCAGUGGCGCAGCUAACGCAUUAAGCGUCCCGCCUGGGGAGUACGGCCGCAAGGUUG